rnacentral:misc_RNA from 1 species
GAUGAAGAACGUAGCGAAACGCGAUAGGUAAUGUGAAUUGCAGAAUUCAGUGAAUCAUCGAAUCUUUGAACGCACAUUGCGCCCCUUGGUAUCCCGAGGGGCAUGCCUGUUCGAGCGUCAUUUCACCACUCAAGCCUGGCUUGGUGUUGGGCGACGUCCCCUUUGGGGACGCGCCUCGAAACGCUCGGCGGCGUGGCACCGGCUUUAAGCGUAGCAGAAUCUUUCGCUUUGGAAGUCGGGGCCCCGUCUGCCGGAAGACCUACUCGCAAGGUUGACCUCGGAUCAGGCAGGGAUACCCGCUGAACUUAAGCAUAUCAAUAAGCGGAGGA